rnacentral:rRNA from 1 species
AACGAACGCUGGCGGCAGGCUUAAUACAUGCAAGUCGAACGGGUGUAGCAAUACAUUAGUGGCGCACGGGUGAGUAACACGUGGGAAUCUGCCCUGAAGUGGGGGACAACAGCUGGAAACGGCUGCUAAUACCGCAUAAUCCCUGAGGGGGAAAGUGGAAGCACGCUUUAGGAGGAGCCCGCGGCAGAUUAGGUAGUUGGUGGGGUAAAGGCCUACCAAGCCGACGAUCUGUAGCUGGUCUGAGAGGAUGACCAGCCACACUGGGACUGAGACACGGCCCAGACUCCUACGGGAGGCAGCAGUAGGGAAUAUUGGACAAUGGAGGAAACUCUGAUCCAGCCAUGCCGCGUGGGUGAUGAAGGCCUUAGGGUUGUAAAGCUCUUUUAACAGGGAAGAUGAUGACGGUACCUGUGGAAUAAGCACCGGCUAACUUCGUG